rnacentral:rRNA from 1 species
AGGACGAACGCUGGCGGCGUGCUUAACACAUGCAAAUCGAGCGAGGCCCUUUCCUUCGGGAAAGGUGCCCUAGCGGCGAACGGGUGAGUAACACGUGGGCAACCUGCCCCUAGCACUGGGAUAACUCCGGGAAACCGGGGCUAAUACCGGAUACGACCUCUGAGGGCAUCCUCCGGAGGUGGAAAGGAUUCUGGCUAGGGAUGGGCCCGCGGCCUAUCAGCUUGUUGGUGGGGUAACGGCCCACCAAGGCGACGACGGGUA